UACGUAGGGUCCGAGCGUUAAUCGGAAUUACUGGGCGUAAAGCGUGCGCAGGCGGUUCGCAAAGACAGGUGUGAAAUCCCCCGGGCUUAACCUGGGAACUGCGCUUGUAACUAGCGGGCUAGAGUGGCGGCAGAGGGGGGUGGAAUUCCACGUGUAGCAGUGAAAUGCGUAGAUAUGUGGAGGAACACCGAUGGCGAAGGCAGCCCCCUGGGUCGACACUGACGCUCAUGCACAAAAGCGUGGGGAGCAAACCAGG
rnacentral:rRNA from 1 species